GUCUGCAGAUCUGCGCUGGCAGAACCUUCUGACCAGCAUCCUGAAACAGGAAGGCAGAGUGCAGACGGUGGAGGAUUUGGAGUGGGCAGACAGGUGUGAGUUGUUGCGGCGUAAUCCGGUGACUGCGGCCAGGAUGUUUGAUUACAGGUGGCAUUGUUUUCUGAAAGAGGUUCUCAUGUCUCCUUCUGAGCCAAUUGGCAGAAUCAUCGAUCACUUCUACCGUGUUGAGUUUCAGCAGCGCGGUUCUCCUCAUGUUCACUGCUUGUUCUGGAUCGAGGGCGCUCCUAAAAUUGACCAGAACACAGAUGAGGAGGUGGUCGAGUUCAUUGAUCAGUUUGUGACGUGCGAGCUGCCCUCAGACGACGACACAUUAUUGGACAUUGUGUCGUCAGUUCAAACACAUUCCAAACGACACUCAAAGUCUUGUCGGAAGAACAAGACGACGUGUCGUUUCCAUUUCCCAAAACCUGCUUCUACGCGUACAUUCCUUUGUAAGAUGAAGGAAUGUCGCUGUGACAAACAGAAGCUGAAGGAGGCCCAGAAGAAUCCUGAUUCAGAAAACAAGCUGGUCUGUAAGUGCUUUGAGAAGGAUAACCCGAUGAAGAAGGAGGUCGCAAAGGAGAUUUUGGCGUCUGUGAGCAAAGCUAUCAGGGAGGAGGAGCCGUUUGAUAGUGUAGAGGAGUUGUUUGCCAGUCGACACAUCAACCAGGAUAUAUUUGAAAUGGCCUACAGGAGGUUGGAGAAGAAGACCAAGGUUGUGUAUAGGAGAGGGUUGAAGGAGGUGUGGGUAAACCAGUAUAGCAAGAAGUUGUUGAAGUGCUGGAACGCUAACAUGGACCUUAGCUUUGUCACCGACGCCUACGCUGUAAUUGUUUACAUCAUUUCGUAUAUUACGAAAGCAGAGAGAGAAAUUGGCCUACUAUUGAACAACGCCCAAAAAGAAGCAAACAAAGAAGGAAACCUCUCUGCUCGAGAAGCCCUGAAGAAGCUGGGCAGUGUAUAUUUACACAACAGGGACGUUUGUGCCCAGGAGGCGGUGUAUAGGCUAACCAACAUGCACCUGAAGGAGUGUUCCAGGAAGGUGGUGUUUGUUCCAACAGGGGACAACAUCGUGAGGAUGAGUUUACCCCUCCAUGUCCUGAAGGAGAGGGCGUCAUCACAUGAUCUGAGCUCAGAUGACAUGUGGAUGACCAGCAUAGUGGACAGGUACAGGAACAGGCCUGAUGGUGGUGUGUUUGACAACAUGUGUAUUGCCACGUUUGCCUCGGAGUAUCGUGUUCUCACCAGGAAUGAAAUUUCACCAAACAGAAUCGAGUUGAAGAACAAACUGGGCUUCAUCUUGAGGAGAACACGAUCUCAGUUUGCAGUUGUCCGCUAUAUGCGCUUCAAUUUGGACAAACAACGAGAGGCUUAUUUUCAGGGUGUGCUUCAGUUGUUCCUUCCUUAUAGAAGUGACUCAGAGCUCAAGCCCGAGGGCUUCCAGCUCUUUGAACAGUUCUAUAACGACGGUGAGGUGACGUUUGGCGACGGCUCCGUUCAUAGAGUCAAGGUGGUGGUGGAUGAGAACAGGGCCCGGUUUGAGAUCGAUCCUGAGAACCUGGAGCGUGCUGAGGAGAUCGCUCACCAUGUCCACGGCCUUGAGGAAGACGCUUGGGGGGACCUGUGUCCUGAACAGGAGCUGGAACGCGACGAGUGUGCUGAGGAGUUGAGAGAGCAACAGGCAACAGAGAUAGCAGAUGAGCAGUUGGUGGAGGGUCUGGAGAACGUUCCAGAUCUGCAGGAACGUGGCCGACAGGUGGCCCAGUUAGAGAGAAACAGGCUGGUGUUGUCUCGUGCUGAGGGCUUAGCUCUAGUUAGGUCUCUGAAUGAGACACAGCAGGCUGUUUUUUACCAGGUGAG
rnacentral:lncRNA from 1 species